UACGUAGGGACCGAGCGUUGUCCGGAUUCAUUGGGCGUAAAGAGCGUGUAGGCGGCCCGGUAAGUCCGCUGUGAAAGUCGGGGGCUCAACCCUCGAAUGCCGGUGGAUACUGUCGGGCUAGAGUGCGGAAGAGGCGAGUGGAAUUCCUGGUGUAGCGGUGAAAUGCGCAGAUAUCAGGAGGAACACCUGUGGCGAAAGCGGCGCACUGGACCACAACUGACGCUGAGGCGCGAAAGCUAGGGGAGCAAACAGG
rnacentral:rRNA from 1 species